GCCGGGGUCUCCUAGUCUGGUAGGGAGCAGAUAAAAGUUAACAGCUCAAGCCUGGAAAGCCUGUGCCCCCUCCGGGGCACGUGGGUUCAAAUCCCACUCCCGGCGCCA
rnacentral:tRNA from 1 species